UCAGCUAUGCAAUUUUUAAAUUUUCAUAAAAGGGUAGAUAUUAAAUAUCCUUAUGCUAAAAAAAAAUAAAAAGGGCUGCCCCAUAUGUAAAAUAGACUUCCCUCUGGAUAUCACUGUCACACAUGUAAAGUGGCCUUCCCUCUGGAUAUUACUGUGUAUGUGCAGGGACAGGAAGAACUGUUCCACCCAGCCACAUUGGCAAGUCAUCCAGAGACACAUUUCUGUUUCAUGAUGUUAUUUUAUUAGUAGAUUUACCUGGUGGUUCUAUUAAGAAAAAGGAACCACAAUAAGAAAACUAUAAUAAGAAAAACAGGUUAGUAAAAAUCAAAUAUGUUUUCAAAAAUGAUGUGCAUUUUUCCUAGAAAAAGAGUUAGCCUGGUGAAGUGGUACACAUCUGUAGUACUGACAAGGGAAUGUUAGAACAGAAUCACGAGUUCAAGGCCAGCCUGGGCAAAAACUUCAUCUCAAGUAAAAAGGCUUAUUGUAUAAAAACAAUAACAAUAGUUCCUUAAAAUAGCCUUAUACUAAAAACUAUUCGCACAUUUGCAAGUAGAACAUCUUGGAGCUCAUGUUGGUGUUGACAUCUAUGGCUUAGACCAAGUGCCUUCAUUGUUCAUUCACAAUUAAAAGGGUUCUGGGAGGGUUUGGAGUUAAAGCCAGCUCCCAGCGGGUGCUGGUCCUGGUAACCCAUGCCCCACAACUGCCUUCCCGUUACCCUGGGCUGGCUUAGCUUUAAUCAACCCCUCACAGCUGUGUCACCCGGGGAAGGGUUUUAUGAAAUGGAUCUGAUGUUCUUGUGUGCCUGUGUUGUUCAUUCCUAAGGGCUGGAACAGUGCCCAGCAAGGUGAGGGGCAGAGCGUGGCCUUCGCCCCAGCUGUGCCUUUCUGCCAGUGUCACUCAGGCUAUAAAUAAGGGGAUUAGGCCAUUUCCCUUCUCAUCAAACUAGAAAGAUGCCAGAGGACACUACCAGGCAGCUCCGACCAGUUGGAAAGGCUUUAGGGACUGACCUAAGAGAUAAAGAUCUUUUCAUUUAUAUGAAUAAAUACAAAACAAAAUUUAAAACCCAACACCACAUAAAAUGAGCAUGGUGGUGGUGUAUGCCUAUAAUCCCAUCACUUGGGAAGUACAGAAAUGUAAGGUCAUCCUUAGCUUGGGCUGAGGACAAGUUCAAAGCCAGCAUGGGAUACUUAAACAAUACAUUUUUUAGCUAGGCAUGGUGUACCAAGCCUUUAAUCCUAGCACUUGGGACCAGAGGCAGGUAGAUCUCUGUGAGCUGCAGUGUAGGCAGGGCUACAUAAUAGAAAAGCCCUGUCUUAAAAACAAACAAACAACAUUUUCCUUGCUUCAAACGUUAUCAAACCUUGAGAGACUAAAAAUAACAAAAUCUGUCAGGCUGUGGUGGUACACACCUUUAAUCCUACACUUGAGAGGCAAAGGCAGGUGGAUCUCUAAGUUCAAAGCCAGCCUGAUCUAUACAAUGAGUUAUAGGGCAACCAGAGCUACACAGAGAAACCCUGUCCUGAAGACAAAGCAAAUAAUAAUAAUAAUAAAAAUUAGAAACUCAUUCAAUUUUAAGUUUCUGGUUGAGGUUUUGGCCUUGCCUCGUGGCCCAGAAGUGACAGUCCUGCCUUUCCUAAGCACCUAAAGCCUGUGGGUUGUGUGAGCUCCUAGGAAACGGCUGUCUUUCCCCUUGAGACAGCUGCUGAGCUGGCCGUGGGAGCCCGAGUCCUGAUGUAUGGAUUGGCACUUAGCACCCCAGCGUCUGGCUGUUGCACAAACCUACUUUGCAGCAUUAGUCGGAGGUUUCUCACACCUGCUGUUGAUUGUCUUCCAUAUUUCCCAACAGUAAGCUAUCCACCAAGCAACUCCCGUGCAAAUAUUUAAUUGACAGAAAUGCUCAGGAUGGUGUGAGAAUGUACAAGACAUGGCCUCUGUACUUCCAAGAGUGUAGGGGGAGGUGCAUGGUGGGUUGUUCCCGAAGUCGCAGCAGUCCAUGGGGGAGUCCAGACCUAGACCAGAAACAGAAGCACGUGGGUUGUUUCCCAGAGCUGCUGUCCAGGCUCUGCCUCCUGGAGUGUAAGAACCCAAGCCUGCUCCUGCCGCAGCCGUGCUUUCUGUCUGCAGAGACCGCAUAGCACUCACUCACGUGGCAAAUCUCGGGGCAAGAAGAGUGCCCUUCUCUGUGGCCAUAAGCAUGCAAAUAGAGAGGCAAGCUUAAGAAAAUCUGGGUUUGUGGGUGUCUGCUGCUGCAGUUCUCAGUAAUUUCCACAGGUGAAACUCUAAGAAAUGUGAUGUCAUAGUUUAAAAUACUAGAACAGUCCCAUAAGCAAAAGUGGACAAAACAGCCAGUUCUAGAUCUGCAAAGACUGAUACUAAAGUCACAUGGUGCAAAAUGAACGCUUGCAUGGCCAGGGAAAUUGGAGGGAAUAAGAAAUGAAUUAUAAGCCAUAGAUCAGAACUGUGGCACACACAUUUCCACAUUCUGUUCGAAAAGAUAACUGAGGUGGGCUGGCCGAAUGGCACAUUAGACCCAGAGAUGUGUUUAGAGAACUUAUCUGGAGUGCAGAACGUGGGGUGGGGAGAUGGAAGGCCAGCCGUGAGGGCCUAACAGAUCUAUAAGUGG
rnacentral:lncRNA from 1 species